GAGUGAACGCUGGCGGUAGGCCUAACACAUGCAAGUCGAACGGCAGCACAGUAAGAGCUUGCUCUUACGGGUGGCGAGUGGCGGACGGGUGAGGAAUACAUCGGAAUCUACUUUUUCGUGGGGGAUAACGUAGGGAAACUUACGCUAAUACCGCAUACGACCUACGGGUGAAAGCAGGGGAUCUUCGGACCUUGCGCGAUUGAAUGAGCCGAUGUCGGAUUAGCUAGUUGGCGGGGUAAAGGCCCACCAAGGCGACGAUCCGUAGCUGGUCUGAGAGGAUGAUCAGCCACACUGGAACUGAGACACGGUCCAGACUCCUACGGGAGGCAGCAGUGGGGAAUAUUGGACAAAGGGCGCAAGCCUGAUCCAGCCAUACCGCGUGGGUGAAGAAGGCCUUCGGGUUGUAAAGCCCUUUUGUUGGGAAAGAAAAGCAGCAGGUUAAUACCCCGCUGUUCUGACGGUACCCAAAGAAUAAGCACCGGCUAACUUCGUG
rnacentral:rRNA from 1 species